UCAGUCGGCCGGACGGCCGUCCCGGCGCGCGCCGAAAGGCUGCCGGGGAGGAAAGUCCGGGCUCCAUGGACAUGCGGUGCCGGAUAAGGUCCGGCGGGGGCGACCCCAGGGAUAGUGCCACAGAAAACAAACCGCCUGUCCGCGCCGGUCUUGCACAGAGAAGGGCCGCGGGCAGGUAAGGGUGAAACGGUGCGGUAAGAGCGCACCGCGGUUCCGGCGACGGAAACGGCACGGCAAACCCCACCGGGAGCAAAACCGAAUAGGGACGGCGCGGGAGCCGCGAGGUUCCCGGACCGAUGUCCGGGUCCAGCCGUCCGGGUGGGUUGCUCGAGACGCCGGGCGACCGGCGUCCCAGAGGAAUGGCCGUCGCGCGCGGGGCUUUGCUCCGCGCCCUACAGAACCCGGCUUACAGGCCGGCUGAUCGA
rnacentral:RNase_P_RNA from 1 species